rnacentral:rRNA from 1 species
CAGCCGCCACGGUAAUACGAAGGGGGCUAGCGUUGUUCGGAUUUACUGGGCGUAAAGGGCGCGUAGGCGGACUGAUAAGUCAGGGGUGAAAUCCCAAGGCUCAACCUUGGAACUGCCUUUGAUACUGUUUGUCUUGAGUUCGAGAGAGGUAAGUGGAACUGCGAGUGUAGAGGUGAAAUUCGUAGAUAUUCGCAAGAACGCCAGUGGCGAAGGCGGCUUACUGGCUCGAAACUGACGCUGAGGCGCGAAAGCGUGGGGAGCAAACAGGAUUAGAUACCCGCGUAGUCCCUGUCUCUUAUAC